rnacentral:misc_RNA from 1 species
UUUCCGUAGGUGAACCUGCGGAAGGAUCAUUAUUGUAUAACCGAGGUGCGAGGGCUGUCGCUGACCCGACAGGUCGUGCACGCCCGAGUGCCCUCACACACAUCCAUCUUACCCCUAUGUGCACCACCGCGUGGGUCCCCCUUUGGCUUGUUCGGAGGGGGGCUUACGUUUUCACACAAACUUUGUAUGCAGUGUAGAAUGUAUUUUUUGUUUUUGCGAUCACGCAAUCAAUACAACUUUCAACAACGGAUCUCUUGGUUCUC